rnacentral:rRNA from 1 species
CAACCUGCCGAUAACUCCGGGAUAGCCUUUCGAAAGAAAGAUUAAUACCGGAUAGUAUACGAAUAUCGCAUGAUAUUUUUAUUAAAGAAUUUCGGUUAUCGAUGGGGAUGCGUUCCAUUAGUUUGUUGGCGGGGUAACGGCCCACCAAGACUACGAUGGAUAGGGGUUCUGAGAGGAAGGUCCCCCACAUUGGAACUGAGACACGGUCCAAACUCCUACGGGAGGCAGCAGUGAGGAAUAUUGGUCAAUGGGCGAGAGCCUGAACCAGCCAAGUAGCGUGAAGGAUGAAGGCUCUAUGGGUCGUAAACUUCUUUUAUAUGGGAAUAAAGUUUUCCACGUGUGGAAUUUUGUAUGUACCAUAUGAAUAAGGAUCGGCUAACUCCGUGCCAGCAGCCGCGGUAAUACGGAGGAUCCGAGCGUUAUCCGGAUUUAUUGGGUUUAAAGGGAGCGUAGGUGGAUUGUUAAGUCAGUUGUGAAAGUUUGCGGCUCAACCGUAAAAUUGCAGUUGAAACUGGCAGUCUUGAGUACAGUAGAGGUGGGCGGAAUUCGUGGUGUAGCGGUGAAAUGCUUAGAUAUCACGAAGAACUCCGAUUG